rnacentral:tRNA from 1 species
GCACCGGUGGUUCAGUAGUAGAAUUCUUGUCUUGCAUGCAUUAGACCAGGGUUCAAUUCCUCGCCAAUGCA